rnacentral:rRNA from 1 species
CACUCCUACGGGAGGCAGCAGUGGGGAAUUUUGGACAAUGGGCGAAAGCCUGAUCCAGCAAUGCCGCGUGAGUGAAGAAGGCCUUCGGGUUGUAAAGCUCUUUUGUCAGGGAAGAAACGGUGAGAGCUAAUAUCUUUUGCUAAUGACGGUACCUGAAGAAUAAGCACCGGCUAACUACGUGCCAGCAGCCGCGGUAAUACGUAGGGUGCAAGCGUUAAUCGGAAUUACUGGGCGUAAAGCGUGCGCAGGCGGUUUUGUAAGUCUGAUGUGAAAUCCCCGGGCUCAACCUGGGAAUUGCAUUGGAGACUGCAAGGCUAGAAUCUGGCAGAGGGGGGUAGAAUUCCACGUGUAGCAGUGAAAUGCGUAGAUAUGUGGAGGAACACCGAUGGCGAAGGCAGCCCCCUGGGUCAAGAUUGACGCUCAUGCACGAAAGCGUGGGGAGCAAACAGGAUUAGAAACCCUUGUAGUCCCAUGA